rnacentral:lncRNA from 1 species
AUGAUGAUUCCAUUCGAUUCCAUUUGACGAUGAUUCCAUUCGAGUCCAUUUGAUGAUUCCAUUCGAUUCCAUUUGAUGAUGAUUCCACUCAAGCCCAUUCGAUUAUUCCAUUCGAGUCCAUUCAAUGAUUCCAUUAGAUUCCAUUCGAUGAUGACUCCAUUCGAGUCCAUUCGAUGAUUCCAUUCGAUUCCAUUCAAUGAUGAUUCCUUUCAGGUCCAUUAGAUGAUUCCAUUAGAUUCCAUUUGAUGAUGACUCCAUUAGAGUCCAUUCUUUGAUUCCAUUCGAUUCCAUUCGAUGAUGAUUCUAUUGGAGUCCAUUCGUUGAUUCCAUUCGAUUCCAUUCAAUCAUGAUUCCAUUCGAGUCCAAUCGAUGAUUACAGUCAAUUCCAUUCGAUGAUGAUUCCCCUCGUGUCCAUUCGAAUAUUCCACUCGAGUCCGUUCGAUGAUUUCCUUAGAUUCCAUUCAAUGAUGAUUCCACUCAAUGCAAUUCAGUGACUAAAUUCGAUUCCAUUCGAUGUUGUUUCCAUUCAAGUCCAUUUGAUGAUUCUAUUCGAUUCCAUUCAAUGAUGAUUCCAUUCGUGUCCACUCGAAGAUUCCAUUCUAUUCCAUUCGAUGAUUAUUCCAUUAGACUCCAUUCCAUGAUGAUUCCAUUCGAUUUCAUUCUGUGAUUCUAUUCAUUUCCAUUCGAUGAUGAUUCCAUUCUUUUCCAGUCGAUGAUUCCAUUCGAUGCCAUUCGAUGAUUACAUUCGAUUACAUUCGACGAUGACUCCAUUCUAUUCCAUUUGAUGAUUCCAUUCGAUUCCAUUCGAUGAGGAUUCCAUUUGAUUCCAUUCAAUGAUGAUUCCAUUCAUGUCCAUUCGAUUGAAUUACAUUUCAUUGCAUUCGAUGAUGAUUCCAUUCGCGUCCAUUAGAUGAUUCCAUUUGAUUCCAUUCAUUGAUGAUCCCAUUCAGAUUCCAUUCGAUGAUUCCAUUCAAUUGCAUUCAAUGUUUCCAUUCGAUUCCAUUCGAUGAUGAUUCCCUUCGAGUCCAUUAGAAGAUUCCAUAACAUUCCAUUCGAUGGUGAUUCCUUUCCAUUUCAUUCAAUGAUUACAUUCGAUUCCAUUCGAUGAUGAUUCCCUUGGAUUCCAUGAGAUGAUUUCAUAACAUUCCAUUCGAUGGUGAUUCCUUUGGAUUCCAUUCGAUGGUUAUUCCAUUUGAUUCGUUUCGAUUAUUCCUUUCAUGUCCAUUCGAUGACACCAUUGAAUUCCAUUCGAUGACUUCAUUCGUAUCCACUUGUUGAUGAUUCCUUUCGAUUCCAUUCGAUGAUGAUUCCAGUCGAUUCCCUUCAUUGAUGAUUCGAUUAGAUUCCAUUUGAUGAUGAUUCCAUUCGAGUCCAUUCAAUGAAGAUUCCAUUCAAUUCCAUUUGAUGAUGAUUCCAUUUGACUACAUUCAAUGAUGAUUCCAUUCGAUUCCAUUCAAAGAUUCAAUUCGAGUCCAUUCAAUGAUUAAAUUCGAUUCCAUUUGAUGAUGAUUCCUUUCAAGUCCAUUCAAUGAUUCCAUUCAAUUCCAUUCGAUAAUAAUUCCUUACAAGUCCAUUCAAUGAUUCCAUUCAGUUGCAUUCUAUGAUUCCAUACGUUUUCAUUCGAUGAUGAUUCCAUUUGAGUCCAUUUGAUGAUUACAUUAGAUUCCAUUCGAGCAUAAUUCCUUUCAAGUCCAUUCGAUGAUUCCAUUCAAUUCCAUUCCAUGAUGAUUCCAUUUGAUUCCAUUCAAUGAUGAUUCCAUUCGAGUCCAUUCUACGAUUCCUUUCUAUUCCAUUCGUUGAUUCCAUUCAAUUCCAUUCGAUGAUGAUUGCAUUCGACUACAUUCGAUGAUUCCACUCGAUUCCAUCCGACGAUUGGAGUCCAUUCGGUGAUUCCUUUACAUUGCACUCAAAGACGAUUCCAUUCAAUUCCAUUCCAUGAUACCAUUCGAUUCCAUUCAUUGAUGAUUCCAUUUGAUUCCAUUUGAUGAUUCCAUUUUAUUCCAUUCGAUGAUGAUUCCAUUCCAUUCCAUUUGAUGAUUCCAUUCCAUUCCAUCAGAUGUUGAUUCCAUUCGUGUCCGCUUGAUGAUUCCAUUCUUUUCCGUUCGACCAUGAUUCCAUUCGAUUCCAUUCGAUGAUUCCAUUCGAGUACAUUCGAUGAUUCCAUUCGAGUACAUUCGAUGAUUCCACUCGAUUCCAUACGAUGAUUAUUCCAUUGGAGUCCAUUUGGCGAUUCCUUUAGUUUCCACUCGAAGAUGAUUCCGUUUGAUUCCAUUCGAUUAUACCAUUCGAUUCCAUUCAUUGAUGAUUCCAUUCAAGUGCAUUUGAUGAUACCAUUCGAUUCCAUUCGAUGAUGAUUCCAUUCGUUUCCAUUUGAUUAUUCCAUUCUAUUCCAUUCAAUGAUGAUACCAUUAGUGUCAAUUCGAUGAUUCCAUUGGAGUCCAUUUGAUGAUGAUUCCAUUCAGUGAUUCCAUUCAAUUCUAUUUGAUAAUGAUUCCCAUCGAUUCCAUUCGAUGUUGAUUCCAUGGGAUUCCAUUCUAUGAUUUCUUUCGAUUGCAUUAGACAAUGACUCCAUUCGAUUCCAUUUGAUGAUUCCAUUCGAUUCUAUUUGAUGAUGAUUCCAUUCGAUUCCAUUUGAUGAUGAUUGCAUUCUAUUCAAUUCGAUGAUGAUUCCAUUCGUGUCCAUUAGAUGAUUCCAUACGAUUCCAUUCGAUGACGAUUCCAUUCUAUUCCAUUGAAUGAUGAUUCCAUUCGGGUCCAUUAUAUGAUUCCACUCGAUUCCAUUUGAUGAUGAUUCCAUUCUUCUCCAUUCGAUGAUGAUUACAUUCAAGUCUAUUCGAUGAUUCUAUUAGAGUCCAUUGAAUGAUUGCUUUUGAUUCCAUUCGAUGCUGAUUCCAUUCCAUUCCAUUCCAUUCCAUUCCAUUCGAUGAUGAUUCCAUUCGAUACCAUUCUAUGAUUCCUUUAGAUUCCAUUUCAUGCUGAUUCCAUUCAAUUUCAUUGAAAGAUUCUAUUCGAAUCCAUUCAAUGAUGAUUCCAUUCGAUUCCAUUUGAUGAUUCCAUUUGAUUUCAUUUGAUGAUGAUUCCAUUUGAUUCCAUUUGGUGAUUCCAUUCAAUGAUGGUUCCAUUCGAGUCCAUUCAAUGAUUCCUUUCUACUCUAUUUGAUGAUGAUUCCAUGCGAGGUCAUUCAAUGUUGAUUCCUUUGGAUACCAUUGCAUGAUUCCAUUCGAUUCUAUUCAAUGAUGAUUGCAUUCGAUUCCAUUCGAUGAUUCCAUUUGAUUCCAUCCAAAGAUGAUUCCAUUCGAUUCCAUUUGAUAAUUCCAUGCGAUUCCAUUCGAUCGUUCCAAUGGAUUCCAUUUGAUGAUGAUUCUAUUUGUGUCCAUUCGAUGAUUCCAUUGAAUUCCAUACGAUGAUGAUUCCAUUCGAGUGAAUUCGAUGUUUGGAAUCAAUUCCAUUCAAUGAUGCUUCCAUUCGAGGCUGUCUGAUGACUCUAUUCAUUUCCAUUCUACAAUGAUUCCCUUUGAGUCCUUUUGAAGAUUUGAUUCGAGUCCUUUCGAUGAUCUCGUUCGAUUCCAUUCGAGGAUGAUUCCGUUCGAGUCCAUUUGACGCGUCCCUUCGAGGACAUUUGAUGAGUCCAUUCGAGUCCAACUGAUGAUUCCAUUCAAUUCCAUUCUGUGAUGUUUCCGUAUGAUUCCAUUCGAUGAUGAUUCCAU